UACGUAGGGUGCGAGCGUUAAUCGGAAUGACUGGGCGUAAAGGGUGCGUAGGCGGGUCUUUAAGUCAGGGGUGAAAUCCUGGAGCUCAACUCCAGAACUGCCUUUGAUACUGAGGACCUUGAGUUCGGGAGAGGUGAGUGGAACUGCGAGUGUAGAGGUGAAAUUCGUAGAUAUUCGCAAGAACACCAGUGGCGAAGGCGGCUCACUGGCCCGAUGCUGACGCUGAGGCACGAAAGCGUGGGGAGCAAACAGG
rnacentral:rRNA from 1 species